GGUGAAAAGCACCCCGGAAGGGGAGUGAAAUAGAACCUGAAACCGUGUGCUUACAAGUAGUCAGAGCCCGUUAAUGGGUGAUGGCGUGCCUUUUGUAGAAUGAACCGGCGAGUUACGAUUUGAUGCAAGGUUAAGCAGUAAAUGUGGAGCCGUAGCGAAAGCGAGUCUGAAUAGGGCGUUUAGUAUUUGGUCGUAGACCCGAAACCAGGUGAUCUACCCUUGGUCAGGUUGAAGUUCAGGUAACACUGAAUGGAGGACCGAACCGACUUACGUUGAAAAGUGAGCGGAUGAACUGAGGGUAGCGGAGAAAUUCCAAUCGAACCUGGAGAUAGCUGGUUCUCUCCGAAAUAGCUUUAGGGCUAGCCUCAAGUGAUGAUUAUUGGAGGUAGAGCACUGUUUGGACGAGGGGCCCCUCUCGGGUUACCGAAUUCAGACAAACUCCGAAUGCCAAUUAAUUUAACUUGGGAGUCAGAACAUGGGUGAUAAGGUCCGUGUUCGAAAGGGAAACAGCCCAGACCACCAGCUAAGGUCCCAAAAUAUAUGUUAAGUGGAAAAGGAUGUGGCGUUGCCCAGACAACUAGGAUGUUGGCUUAGAAGCAGCCAUCAUUUAAAGAGUGCGUAAUAGCUCACUAGUCGAGUGACACUGCGCCGAAAAUGUACCGGGGCUAAACAUAUUACCGAAGCUGUGGAUUGUCCUUUGGACAAUGGUAGGAGAGCGUUCUAAGGGCGUUGAAGCAUGAUCGUAAGGACAUGUGGAGCGCUUAGAAGUGAGAAUGCCGGUGUGAGUAGCGAAAGACGGGUGAGAAUCCCGUCCACCGAUUGACUAAGGUUUCCAGAGGAAGGCUCGUCCGCUCUGGGUUAGUCGGGUCCUAAGCUGAGGCCGACAGGCGUAGGCGAUGGAUAACAGGUUGAUAUUCCUGUACCACCUAUAAUCGUUUUAAUCGAUGGGGGGACGCAGUAGGAUAGGCGAAGCGUGCGAUUGGAUUGCACGUCUAAGCAGUAAGGCUGAGUAUUAGGCAAAUCCGGUACUCAUUAAGGCUGAGCUGUGAUGGGGAGAAGACAUUGUGUCUUCGAGUCGUUGAUUUCACACUGCCGAGAAAAGCCUCUAGAUAGAAAAUAGGUGCCCGUACCGCAAACCGACACAGGUAGUCAAGAUGAGAAUUCUAAGGUGAGCGAGCGAACUCUCGUUAAGGAACUCGGCAAAAUGACCCCGUAACUUCGGGAGAAGGGGUGCUCUUUAGGGUUAACGCCCAGAAGAGCCGCAGUGAAUAGGCCCAAGCGACUGUUUAUCAAAAACACAGGUCUCUGCUAAACCGUAAGGUGAUGUAUAGGGGCUGACGCCUGCCCGGUGCUGGAAGGUUAAGAGGAGUGGUUAGCUUCUGCGAAGCUACGAAUCGAAGCCCCAGUAAACGGCGGCCGUAACUAUAACGGUCCUAAGGUAGCGAAAUUCCUUGUCGGGUAAGUUCCGACCCGCACGAAAGGCGUAACGAUUUGGGCACUGUCUCAACGAGAGACUCGGUGAAAUCAUAGUACCUGUGAAGAUGCAGGUUACCCGCGACAGGACGGAAAGACCCCGUGGAGCUUUACUGUAGCCUGAUAUUGAAAUUCGGCACAGCUUGUACA
rnacentral:rRNA from 1 species